rnacentral:rRNA from 1 species
AACGAACGUUAGCGGCGCGCCUAAGACAUGCAAGUCGAGCGAGAAAGGGCUUCGGCCCCAGUAAAGCGGCGCACGGGUGAGUAACACGUAGGUCAUCAACCCUCGAGUGGUGGACAACUCUCCGAAAGGAGAGCUAAUACAGCAUAACGCCAGCAAUGGCCAAAGCGGGCCUCUCCAUGGAAGCUCGCGCUUGAGGAUGAGCCUGCGGCCCAUCAGCUAGUUGGUUGGGGUAAUGGCCCACCAAGGCAUAGACGGGUAGCUGGUCUGAGAGGAUGAACAGCCACACUGGAACUGAGACACGGUCCAGACUCCUACGGGAGGCAG